GGGGGCACCCUGAUCCAGCCAUGCCGCGUGUGUGAAGAAGGCCUUUUGGUUGUAAAGCAUUUUAAGCAGUGAAGAAGACUCCAUGGUUAAUACCCAUGGACGAUGACAUUAGCUGCAGAAUAAGCACCGGCUAACUCUGUGCCAGCAGCCGCGGUAAUACAGAGGGUGCAAGCGUUAAUCGGAAUUACUGGGCGUAAAGCGAGCGUAGGUGGCUUGAUAAGUCAGAUGUGAAAUCCCCGGGCUUAACCUGGGAACUGCAUCUGAUACUGUUAGGCUAGAAUAGGUGAGAGGAAGGUAGAAUUCCAGGUGUAGCGGUGAAAUGCGUAGAGAUCUGGAGGAAUACCGAUGGCGAAGGCAGCCUUCUGGCAUCAUAUUGACACUGAGGUUCGAAAGCGUGGGUAGCAAACAGGAUUAGAUACCCUGGUAGUCCACGCCGUAAACGAUGUCUACUAGUCGUUGGGUCCCUUGAGGACUUAGUGACGCAGCUAACGCAAUAAGUAGACCGCCUGGGGAGUACGGCCGCAAGGUUAAAACUCAAAUGAAUUGACGGGGGCCCGCACAAGCGGUGGAGCAUGUGGUUUAAUUCGAUGCAACGCGAAGAACCUUACCUGGUCUUGACAUAUCUAGAAUCCUGCAGAGAUGCGGGAGUGCCUUCGGGAAUUAGAAUACAGGUGCUGCAUGGCUGUCGUCAGCUCGUGUCGUGAGAUGUUGGGUUAAGUCCCGCAACGAGCGCAACCCUUGUCCUUAGUUACCAGCGGGUUAAGCCGGGAACUCUAAGGAUACUGCCAGUGACAAACUGG
rnacentral:rRNA from 1 species